rnacentral:rRNA from 1 species
CACGUAGGGCGCAAGCGUUUGUCCGGAAUUAUUGGGCGUAAAGGGCUCGUAGGUGGUUUGUCGCGUUGUUCGUGAAAACUCACAGCUCAACUGUGGGCGUGCGGGCGAUACGGGCAGACUAGAGUACUGCAGGGGAGACUGGAAUUCCUGGUGUAGCGGUGGAAUGCGCAGAUAUCAGGAGGAACACCGGUGGCGAAGGCGGGUCUCUGGGCAGUAACUGACGCUGAGGAGCGAAAGCGUGGGGAGCGAACAGG